rnacentral:rRNA from 1 species
AGAGUUUGAUCCUGGCUCAGGACGAACGCUGGCGGCGUGCCUAAUACAUGCAAGUCGAGCGAGCUGAAUUCAAAGAUUCCUUCGGGAUGAUUUGUUGGACGCUAGCGGCGGAUGGGUGAGUAACACGUGGGCAAUCUGCCCUAAAGACUGGGAUACCACUUGGAAACAGGUGCUAAUACCGGAUAACAACAUGAAUCGCAUGAUUCAAGUUUGAAAGGCGGCGUAAGCUGUCACUUUAGGAUGAGCCCGCGGCGCAUUAGCUAGUUGGUGGGGUAAAGGCCUACCAAGGCAAUGAUGCGUAGCCGAGUUGAGAGACUGAUCGGCCACAUUGGGACUGAGACACGGCCCAAACUCCUACGGGAGGCAGCAGUAGGGAAUCUUCCACAAUGGACGCAAGUCUGAUGGAGCAACGCCGCGUGAGUGAAGAAGGUUUUCGGAUCGUAAAGCUCUGUUGUUGGUGAAGAAGGAUAGGGGCAGUAACUGGUCUUUAUUUGACGGUAAUCAACCAGAAAGUCACGGCUAACUACGUGCCAGCAGCCGCGGUAAUACGUAGGUGGCAAGCGUUGUCCGGAUUUAUUGGGCGUAAAGCGAGCGCAGGCGGAAUGAUAAGUCUGAUGUGAAAGCCCACGGCUCAACCGUGGAACUGCAUCGGAAACUGUCAUUCUUGAGUGCAGAAGAGGAGAGUGGAACUCCAUGUGUAGCGGUGGAAUGCGUAGAUAUAUGGAAGAACACCAGUGGCGAAGGCGGCUCUCUGGUCUGCAACUGACGCUGAGGCUCGAAAGCAUGGGUAGCGAACAGGAUUAGAUACCCUGGUAGUCCAUGCCGUAAACGAUGAGCGCUAGGUGUUGGGGACUUUCCGGUCCUCAGUGCCGCAGCAAACGCAUUAAGCGCUCCGCCUGGGGAGUACGACCGCAAGGUUGAAACUCAAAGGAAUUGACGGGGGCCCGCACAAGCGGUGGAGCAUGUGGUUUAAUUCGAAGCACGCGAGACCUUACCAGGUCUUGACAUCCUGUGACAUUCUAGAGAUAGAACUUUCCCUUCGGGACCCAGAGAAGGUGUGCAUGCUGUCGUCAGCUCGUGUCGUGGAAUGUUGGUAAGUCCCGCACGGAGCGCAACCAUUCUUUAGUUGCCAUCAUAAGUGGCACUCUAAGAGAACUGCGGGACACGGAGGAAGGGUGUGGAGUAAGCUCAGUUCACUAUGUGCCUCAU